GAUGAACGCUGGCGGCGUGCCUAAUACAUGCAAGUCGAGCGAACAGACGAGGAGCUUGCUCCUCUGACGUUAGCGGCGGACGGGUGAGUAACACGUGGAUAACCUACCUAUAAGACUGGGAUAACUUCGGGAAACCGGAGCUAAUACCGGAUAAUAUAUUGAACCGCAUGGUUCAAUAGUGAAAGACGGUUUUGCUGUCACUUAUAGAUGAAUCCGCGCCGCAUUAGCUAGUUGGUAAGGUAACGGCUUACCAAGGCAACGAUGCGUAGCCGACCUGAGAGGGUGAUCGGCCACACUGGAACUGAGACACGGUCCAGACUCCUACGGGAGGCAGCAGUAGGGAAUCUUCCGCAAUGGGCGAAAGCGUGACGGAGCAACGCCGCGUGAGUGAUGAAGGUCUUCGGAUCGUAAAACUCUGUUAUUAGGGAAGAACAAAUGUGUAAGUAACUAUGCACGUCUUGACGGUACCUAAUCAGAAAGCCACGGCUAACUACGUG
rnacentral:rRNA from 1 species